rnacentral:rRNA from 1 species
AUGGAAGGGCCAUCGCUCAACGGAGAAAGGUACUCCGGGGAUAACAGGCUGAUACCGCCCAAGAGUUCAUAUCGACGGCGGUGUUUGGCACCUCGAUGUCGGCUCAUCACAUCCUGGGGCUGAAGUAGGUCCCAAGGGUAUGGCUGUUCGCCAUUUAAAGUGGUACGCGAGCUGGGUUUAGAACGUCGUGAGACAGUUCGGUCCCUAUCUGCCAUGGGCGCUGGAGAACUGAGGGGGGCUGCUCCUAGUACGAGAGGACCGGAGUGGACGCAUCACUGGUGUUCGGGUUGUCAUGCCAAUGGCACUGCCCGGUAGCUAAAUGCGGAAGAGAUAAGUGCUGAAAGCAUCUAAGCACGAAACUUGCCCCGAGAUGAGUUCUCCCUGACUCCCUGAGAGUCCUGAAGGAACGUUGAAGACGACGACGUUGAUAGGCCGGGUGUGUAAGCGCAGCGAUGCGUUGAGCUAACCGGUACUAAUGAACCGUGAGGCUUAACCUUACAACGCCGAAG